GCUGAGGCCCCCUUCCCGUGAGCCACAGGAGGGAAACGAAAGACGCGGCCCUCCGGCUGUUUGAGGGGUCGCCGAGCGCUGGCGUAACCUUCUGUCAACUUGCGGCCUCAGGCGAACACGGGCAGGUCGGAGUAACCUGGUUUUCCAAGAACAGUUCGCUCCCCAGAAUCGUUGCUGGAUGUUCCGUCUCGGUCCGUUUCCCCUGGAUCCGCCCCGUUGCAGGUGCCCCACCUGACCGCAGGUCGCUGCCGGCAGACCUAGAUCGCGCUUGGGAACGAUACGCUGAACCCACGUGACCAGUGUCAGUUCAGCUGAAGAGGCGCCCCCCCCCACAGACGGGCGUUCUUUCCACCCUUCACCCCACUUAUGCUGGCCUUAGAUGUAGUCGAUUGGAUUCCUGUGUAUUCCAUCUGGUGAUGUCCACAUGUAUAGUCGCCAUUUGUGUUCUGAGAUCAGAAAGGGAAACUGAAGUUUGACAUGGUCAAGUGACUUUCCCAAGAUAAUGACUACUGGACGGUUGAUGGAGCCGGAUUUUCAGCUAGGCCCGACUUCUCACACUCUUAACUGGGAGAGUAUGGCUAUUCCAUUUAUAUGCUAAUAAUUUUUUUUUUUAAUGGGUAGAAUCAUUCUGGAACUUAAUAGUAUGUAUUAGAAUCCUUUAAAAGCUGCAUCUCCUUUGUUCCACUUGUCUUUCAGUUAACAAACAUCUGUGUAGUACUUACUGUGUGCCAUGUACUGCUCUAAGCAUUUUUAAAAUAUUAAAAAUGAAUGUUUCUGGCAACACUAUCAGGUAAGUAUUUUAUAGAAAAGCAAAUUGAGACGUUCAGAAGCUAAGUGAUUUUCCCAAAGUCACACAGCUCAUCAUGCAUGAAGCUCGGUUGUGGCUGCAGGGUGGGUGCCCUUAAUUGCUACACCAUUCAGUUGUUCUAAUUUUAGGAAUUAGCUCUUGAGAAGUAAUCAUACAUAUGCACAAGAAGAUAUCAUUAUAGCUCUGGUGACCUAACUGAAAAUGUGGAAAGAAUUGUCUAAUAAAGGAAUUUGGAAAAUCCAAAUGGCACUCUGUAACCAUUAAAUAUUUUCUAGUAGAAGUAGUAGUAGUAGUAUUUUCUAGUAGAAGAAGCAAGUAUUAAUAACAUCAUAUUUAUGAUAUGCUGAUUGGUAAUGACAGUAAGUGAAAUAAUAUUAUAGUAUAUCUAAUUUUUAUUUUUAAAAAUACACAUUUACAUAUAGGCACAGAAAACAGACCAGGCAAAUACAGGAACAAUAAAAGUGAACAAUGGUUUCUGGGUGAUGAGGUUCUCUGUGAUUUUUUUUUCUUCAACCUAUCAGUAAUUUCCUUUUUUGACAAUGAAAGUAUUUUUCUUUUAUUAAAUAUCAGUUUUUGAUUAAAAAUAACCUAAAAGAAUUGUAAUAAAGCAUCUCUGGGGUAUUUUUGACAGUGGGAGAUUCUUAAAGUUUGGAACAAACUUUAAGUGGAAAUCCCUGGCCCAUCCUUUCUGAUUCAGGCUAAAAAGCAAGAAAGGUUACUUGAUAUGCUUUAAAGCAGAUUUUGUGUGAUCUUUUUUUUUUUUAGUGAACAGCCCCUAAUUUAUGAAUUUGGAAAUCAUUGCCUUAGACCCAUCAAUAUGACAAAUCAUUUAACUCCUCUUGGUACAUCUCCAGGUUACACUGAAGAUGUUUAUGAUUCCAGGAUAGAGUGAUGGUUAAGAGCCAGGUUCCCAGGAUCAGACUGCUGUAGGUUCCACUUCUCAAUCUGCUACUUACUCCAGAGUGCUGCCUUCUCACCUCCGUUGGAAGUUUGGGCUCUAGCCUGCUCCAGAAGGACAGACAAGUGCCUUGGGACCAGGUGACGGCUUUUGGAAGAGCAGGUUAAAUGGGAUUUAUGAAGAACAGGCUUUGACUCCAACCUCUGAAAAAGCUUCAAUUCAAUGGAACUAAUGGAACUUUGGUUUCUGGAAUUAGAUCCUGUUAUCAAUGACUUCCACAUGUUGAUCUCAUCAUUCCUACUGCAUGUGGGCUUUCUGCUUGUGUUAGAGAACAUGGUCACCAGCAGCUCUGGGCUAACAUCAAUCCGAAUGAAUGACCCAGAAAGAAAGUGUCUCUUGCCUAGCCUCAGUCUAGAAGGACUCUGAUUGUCCCACCAAGGAUUACUCACUUAUUCCUGGGCCAAUCAUUGUGGCCACAAGCAUGAUAACUGGCCCAGUCUGGGCCAUGGGGCCAGCAGUGGCACACUACUGUGAUGGGCAGUGCUUCCAGAAACACACAGUUGUGGUGGAGGAGAAGCAGGUUCUCAAAGGAAGAAGGUUGUUGGGUAGACCAAAAGAAAAAAUCUCGUAGUCUACCAAGACAACUAUCCACAAGCUAACAUGGAGAAAAGGGGCAUUCCAAGCAGAAGGAAGAGAUUGAACAAAGCCAAGAAGAGGUGGUUAAAGAAAUAACCUAAAAGAAACAUGACUAAGCAGUUAGUUAAAGAAAUCAGAAGAAGAAAAAAAAAAAACAUGGAUGACUUCAAAUUCUGGUAAAGGUUAAAAAAAAAAAAAAAGGUACUCAACUGUAUUAAAUAUAAUGAGUGGUAUUUUUAAUGACAGAAGUUAUUUUAUCAAUUAACCUUUAUUUCAUUUCUUAGUCUCUGGUCUUCAGGUUACAUACUAUGUAUUACAUAACAUCGCGUGCUUUUCCAUCCGUGCCGAAAUGGAAUUGUGGUCAUCUUCCUUCUGUGUUAACAGUGGACUCGUGGCUGUUUUCCACCUGUGCUAACUCAGGGACUAGUGGGUAUCAUGGAUUGAAGUGUGCCCCCCAAAAAUAUGUGUCAACUUAGUUAGGCCAUGAUUCCUAGUAUCGUGUGGUUGUCCUCCAUUUUGUGAUUGUAAUUUUAUGUUAAAGAGGAUUAGGGUGGGAUUGUAACACCCUUACCCAGGUCACAUCCUUGAUCCAACAUAAACGGAGUUUCCGUGGGGUGCGGCCUGCACCACCUUUUAUUUCUCAAGAGAUAAAAAGGAAAGGCAAGUGAUCAGAGAGGGGAACCUCAUACCACCGAAAAAGCAGUGCCAGAAGCAGAGCAUGUCCUUUGGACCCAGGGUCUCUGCACGGAGAAGCUCCUAGUCUGGGGGAAGAUUGAUGGGAAGGCUGACAGAGAGAGAAAGCCUUCCCCUGGAGCUGAAGCCGUGAAUUUGGACUUUUAGCCUGUUUUACUGUGAAGAAGUAAAUUUCUCUUUGUUUAAGCCGUCCAUUUGUGGUAUUUCUGUUAUAACAGCACUAGAUGACAAAGACAGUGGAUAAACCAAAACCCUUUUUAUUUGGUUGAGAUGCCAUCAUUCAUUUGUCCAUUUAGUCAUUCCAUGAUAUGAUUGAGUCCCUACUAGACAUCAGAAACUCUGCUAAGUAUUGAGGCUAUUGGUUUAGAGUAAUAUACAGUAGAGGCUAUAGAAGACAAAGCACUUUUCCUCAAGGAGCUUACAGUAGUUAGGGAGAGACCAAAAGACAAACAAAAAAAGCAAUCAAGCAAAUAAAACAUAAACAAACAAACAUAUCAAGAAAAAAAUAGGUGUUUAAAAUAAAAUACAUUACACCAUAUUCCACACCAUAUCUUAUCAUAAUAUACUUUAUGAUGCCAUAAGAUACAAUAAGUGCUUAUACUAGCAUGCCAUGGGAGCAACAAGUCAAAGCUGAGACCUGGUAGACAACCAGAUGCUGGCUGUUCCUACACACAGAGGAAGGGGGAGAAAAACAAAAGCAUCCCAGCACAAGGGCCAGAGUGUGGCAUGUUCUAGGGGUUCUGCUGCAACGGUUUCCACUUGCUGGAACUUAGAAUGUGACAAAGAAGCAGGAGACAGAAGGCUGGAGAAGUACGCAGCAUCAGAAGGUGAGGCUCUCAUAAACCGUAUUGACAGUUGAGACUAUCCACUGAAUAGUUGGUAUGGGAAGCCUCUGAAGGUUUUCCUGUGGUCAGAUUUGCUCUUCCAGAUGACCGCUGUACUUGCUAUAUGGGUCAAAAGGGGAGGGGGGCUAAAAACAGGGAGAAAAAUUAAAAGGCUGUGAAAUAAUCUGGAGAGAGAUAGUAGUGAACUGAGCUAACAGUAGAUAUGGUGAGGAAAAGAAGUGGACAGAUAGAAGGAACAUCAAAAGGGAGCAUAUACAGCUAUGAGUGAUUGACUACUUGUGUGCAGUGAGAGGAGAGAGGACUCUAGGUGUACCACACAUUUGGGGCAUGGGUUUUUGUUCAUUGUCUUUUCCUCAUAGAAGAGGUGCAAUACUCCACCGCUGUGAUCCACAAAAGGACAUUCUACAGAACAGGUAAUCCUUGAUAAGUGCUGUAGAAAGAAAGGGGCCCUAGGUCAAGUAACGAUGGGAGCAGUACUCAGCAUUUGGGGCAAGGUAUAACACAGACGGCAUGGCGCAUACUGAAGGCUGAGAAAAACUUAACUGUUGUAAAUGGAAAAGUUUCAAACUGGAGGCACUCAUGUCAGACAUAGGAAUGACAGGGCCACCAUGCUUUCCCAGGAAGCACAAGGUCAGGAUGUAAACGAAUUGUUCUUGGGAGGAAUGUGACACAUUGUAAAUGAUUUGUUUCUGGAAAAAAAUACGUUCAUGACUGCGGUCAAGUAUAACCAAACCGGCUGGCACCACUAUCUAGAUGGUAACUCACUCCCUCCUAGCCAAGCGGCCGAGCUUUACAUUUCAAAGGACUCUAAAGCUGAAGCUGAUCUUCUCUAUAAUCAACCAUUAACCCCCUACCUUUCCUUUGUUCUCACUGCUUGAAUGGCAGAGUGCUUUGUAUUUUACUUAGCACUGCCUAGCUCAAGCUGUAUUAUUCCUCAAUAAAACUUUUCUUUCACUCCUAACAGAGUACCAGAUUUCUUCUUUGACACUGUCUUGAGUCCUGAAUUUAUCAAAUUCAUUUGAGCUUGCAGCCAAGUAAAUACAUUUUAGUAAAUGCUGACAUAUGUGUAGAGUAUGGAAUUCAAAGUCAGGAUACCCAACCUCAAUCCCAUCUAGACCACCCCCCAUAAAUCACUUCAGUUCCGUGAACUUCAGUUUCCCAACUUGUAAAAUGAAGACGUUGGGUUAGAUGGUAUCAAAGGUCUCUUUCAGAUCUAAAAUUCCAUUUUAAUCAUGCCAAAUAAUUUGUUGAUCUACUUUGCAUAAGAGACACUUAAGAAGAAAAUAGAUGUCAAAGAAUUAUUUAAGGUAAUCACAAAGAAAUGAUUAUCACACAUACAUUCUGUUUUUAAAUUUUA